UGUUGAUGAACAUGUGGAGUAACUAAUGAACUAGUACACUAAAGCUGUAACAGAUGAACGUAGGCAGUAACUAAAGUAACUAGUAACUAAAUCUGUAACAGAUGAACGUAGCG